UACGAAGGGGGCUAGCGUUGCUCGGAAUCACUGGGCGUAAAGGGUGCGUAGGCGGGUCUUUUAAGUCAGGGGUGAGAUCCUGGAGCUCAACUCCAGAACUGCCUUUGAUACUGAGGAUCUUGAGUUCGGGAGAGGUGAGUGGAACUGCGAGUGUAGAGGUGAAAUUCGUAGAUAUUCGCAAGAACACCAGUGGCGAAGGCGGCUCACUGGCCCGAUACUGACGCUGAGGCACGAAAGCGUGGGGAGCAAACAGG
rnacentral:rRNA from 1 species